GGUGUGUCGCGCAAGCUCAGUCGCGAUCGCAACCCGGUGUUUGAGGACCCGCGUGCAGUCGAUAGUAGUUGCCGCAAGUUACAGUUUGAAUUGCAACGGGGGAUUUUACUUGAGCAAAGCUACAUGCGCGAGGAAGGAACCAGGAUUCAGGUUUUCUGAGGCGAUCGCGGGGAAGCAUUCUUAUUUUUAAAGAGAUACACCCGCGUUGGUGCACACGCCUGAGAAACGUGAUAUUGCUUUCUGCUUCUCGCGCGUGUCCUACCGGUUUUCCCGCGAGAAUCUUUACGAGGAUCGCUUUUGAAAUCUGCUACGUGUGAAACUGCGACCUUCCGCUCGUAACGCGAGCGGCAUCGCCAUUGCCUCGCAUCGUUCGAGCGUUACACAGGAUUAUACAAUCAGUACGUCUAUUCUUACACCGAUAGCUCGGAGAUACCGAGUGAAAAAGACCAAUAAGAUACUGUCAUUUGAAAGCAGAAGAGGUGGGGAGGGAAGACAUGUCUUAGGAACUAUAAGACUACGUUGAUUGUUGCGAAAUGUCGAUGUUACCGGAAGAAUCGUAUCCGUUAUAACAAGUUUACACAUUGUAAGAGGAAAGCGUGUCGUAUUUGAUGCGUGUGUUCGAUUAAAGACGUUAAUAAGA